ensembl:lncRNA
CCAAUAAUGACUUUUUAUUUUGCGAUUCAUUUAAACAAGGCACAUCAGAGGUAGAACAUUCCUUCAGAAGCAUUUGUGCUGAAGGUAGUUCCUUAGACAGAUAGCUACAGCCUGAGACCAGAGCACCCUAGCAGACAGACAGACUACAUAGACCAUAGACAGACAGGACAGACAGACACUACACAGACAGAUACUACAUAGACAGACAGACAGACACUACAUAGACAGACAGACACUACACAGACAGACACUACACAGACAGACACUACAUAAACUACACAGACAGACAGACACUACAUAAACUACAUAAACAGACAGACACUACACAGACAGACAGACACUACACAGACAGACAGACAAUCCAGGGGUUGGGCAGCAGGCACAGGCAGAGCCUCUGUGCAAUAUCCACACUGGGGGUCCUGGUCUUUAAUCUAGCAGUACUGGGACUAGUGGUUCUGAUUGAGUCUGGUUCCUCUCUGGACACAAAAGUCAGGACAAGGAGGGUUCUGGAGGAUGAACACUAGGCAGGGUCCACCAAUGCCUGGAUCUGUCCCCCUCACCACCUAAUAGAGACAGAAUAGGGUAACAGGGUAGAUUUGUAGAGAUGUUGCCAUAAACAACUGCAUCACUUUUCAUUUGUGGCUUGACACAUACAGACACAUCCAGUAAUACAAAAUUAGAUUGGAAUACAGCAUAUCACUAUUACAUUGUGUGUCACAAAUGCAAAGUGAGCAUCUGCUAAAUAACCAAAACUCCUGCAGGAAAGAGGCAAUGAGGCUCUAGGGUUGCAGAUGCAGGCUAUAUUAUGGAAUGGGGGGCCUUGGUCUCACCUUUCACUGGAUUUGGUCCUGGAAGGUAGCCUGGUGGAACCAGCCUGAUGUUGCGAUAGCUUGACAAGAUUAUCUGGCUGGCAACAAGGGCCUAGGAAUAGGAGCAAGUAUGAGGAAUGUGUUGGAGUCUUGGUGUUACCUCUUCCCGUCUCUGCAUUGGCCACAUAGAUGAACUCAUCCACCUCCUGACAUACUUCCUGGACCUGAGGGGCGGGACUGAAAUAUGGCUGUCCUGAUUGGUCCGCUCUUUCCAGGAUGAAGAGGUUGCUGCUGAGACUCUGCUGCUUCACACUGGCUCUCUUCCUCCCCGCCCUACACACACACACACACACACACACACACACACACACACACA